AGGAACCUGGCGCCGAUCCUCUUGGCCAGUCCAAGCAUGUUGAGUGUACCAACCACAUUGGAUAUGAUAGUCUUGACGGGGUUGUACUUGUAGUGGACGGGGGAUGCGGGGCAGGCAAGAUGGUAGAUCUGGUCGACCUCGAGGAGGAUGGGCUCGACGACGUCGUGGCGGAUCAUCUCGAAGUUGGGGUUGCCGAAGUGGUGCAUCACGUUCUCCUUGCGGCCCGUGAAGAGGUUGUCCACCACGAUCACGCUGUCGCCGCGCGCCACCAGGCGGUCCACCAGGUGGCUGCCCACGAAGCCGGCGCCGCCGGUGACGAGGACGCGCAGGCCCUUCCGCUUGAGCCCCAGGGGCACCUUUCCGGCCACGAACUGGCGGCCAGGGUUGUGCGCGGCGGGGUCGACGGAGAAGCGGGUGAGCGCGCCGGAGACGCGUCCGGAGGAGGAGUAGGGGGCGGCGGUGCCGGAGCCGGAGCCGGAGGGGGCGGCGAGGCAGAAGAUGGCGGCGGCGACGAGCAUGC
rnacentral:rRNA from 1 species